rnacentral:tRNA from 1 species
CGGCCUCGAGGUGAUGGAGAGGAUCGCGGCCGAGGUCGCGGGCCCCGGCGGCGAGGUCUGGACCGUCGCCCCGGCGUUCGAGCAGUCGGGCGUCGCCCA